GCUUGUCUCAAAGAUUAAGCCAUGCAUGUCUAAGUAUAAACUGCUUAUACUGUGAAACUGCGAAUGGCUCAUUAAAUCAGUUAUCAAAUACGUGAUGGUCGCCUACUACAUGGAUAACCGUAGUAAUUCUAGAGCUAAUACAUGCAUCAAACCCCGACUUCUGGAAGGGGUGUAUUUAUUAGAUGGAAACCAAUGCAGGGCAACCUGGAAUAUGGUGAUUCAUAAUAACUCGCGGAUCGGUUUACCGAUGCAUCAUUCAAGUUUCUGCCCUAUCAGCUUUGGAUGGUAGGGUAUUGGCCUACCAUGGCUUUAACGGGUAACGGAGAAUUAGGGUUCGAUUCCGGAGAGGGAGCCUGAGAAAUGGCUACCACAUCCAAGGAAGGCAGCAGG
rnacentral:rRNA from 1 species